rnacentral:rRNA from 1 species
GACGAACGCUGGCGGCGUGCUUAACACAUGCAAGUCGAACGGAAAGGCCUGCUUUCCCUUGUGGAUUGCGGGUACUCGAGUGGCGAACGGGUGAGUAACACGUGAGUGAUCUGCCCCCAACUUGGGUAUAAGCCUGGGAAACUGGGUCUAAUUCCCGAUAGGACUGCAGGGUGGUGCCUGUGGUGGAAAACGAUUUUCUAGUGGUUGGUGAUGAGCUCGCGGCCUAUCUGCUUGUUGGUGGGGUAAUUGCCUACCAAGGCGGCGACGGGUAGCCGGCCGGAGAGGGUGGACGGCCACAUUGGGACUGAGAUACGGCCCAGACUCCUACGGGAGGCAGCAGUGGGGAAUAUUGCACAAUGGGCGGAAGCCUGAUGCAGCGACGCCGCGUGGGGGAUGACGGCCUUCGGGUUGUAAACUCCUUUCGACCGCGAGGAAGCCACCUGGUUGGAAGGGUGGUGACGGUAGUGGUAGAAGAAGCACCGGCUAACUACGUG